GGUAGUCCACGCCGUAAACUAUGGAUGCUAGCUGUAGGGCGCUCGACCCGUCCUGUAGCGAAGCUAACGCGUUAAGCAUCCCGCCUGGGGAGUACGGUCGCAAGAUUAAAACUCAAAGGAAUUGACGGGGACCCGCACAAGCGGUGGAGCGUGUUCUUUAAUUCGAUGAUAAUCGAAGAACCUUACCUGGACUUGACAUCCUGCGAAGGAUUCCGAAAGGAAUUUGUGCCUUCGGGAACGCAGUGACAGGUGCUGCAUGGCCGUCGUCAGCUCGUGUCGUGAGAUGUUGGGUUAAG
rnacentral:rRNA from 1 species